GUCGAACGAUGAACCUUAGCUUGCUAAGGGGAUUAGUGGCGAACGGGUGAGUAAUAUAUCGGAACGUACCUUGUAAUGGGGGAUAACUAGUCGAAAGAUUAGCUAAUACCGCAUACGCCCUGAGGGGGAAAGUAGGGGAUCUUCGGACCUUACGUUAUAAGAGCGGCCGAUAUCUGAUUAGCUAGUUGGUGGGGUAAUGGCCUACCAAGGCGACGAUCAGUAGCUGGUCUGAGAGGACGACCAGCCACACUGGAACUGAGACACGGUCCAGACUCCUACGGGAGGCAGCAGUGGGGAAUUUUGGACAAUGGGCGCAAGCCUGAUCCAGCCAUUCCGCGUGAGUGAAGAAGGCCUUCGGGUUGUAAAGCUCUUUCGCAAGGGAAGAAAACUUACCAUCGAAUAAAUGGUGAGGCUGACGGUACCUUGAUAAGAAGCACCGGCUAACUACGUGCCAGCAGCCGCGGUAAUACGUAGGGUGCGAGCGUUAAUCGGAAUUACUGGGCGUAAAGCGUGCGCAGGCGGUUUGGCAAGUCAGAUGUGAAAUCCCCGAGCUCAACUUGGGAACUGCGUUUGAAACUGCCAGACUAGAAUAUGUCAGAGGGGGGUAGAAUUCCACGUGUAGCAGUGAAAUGCGUAGAGAUGUGGAGGAAUACCAAUGGCGAAGGCAGCCCCCUGGGAUAAUAUUGACGCUCAUGCACGAAAGCGUGGGGAGCAAACAGGAUUAGAUACCCUGGUAGUCCACGCCCUAAACGAUGUCUACUAGUUGUUGGUGGAGUAAAAUCCAUGAGUAACGCAGCUAACGCG
rnacentral:rRNA from 1 species